rnacentral:rRNA from 1 species
UACGUAGGGUGCGAGCGUUGUCCGGAAUUAUUGGGCGUAAAGGGCUCGUAGGCGGUCUGUUGCGUCGGUAGUGAAAACUCAGGGCUUAACCCUGAGCCUGCUUCCGAUACGGGCAGACUAGAGGUAUGCAGGGGAGAACGGAAUUCCUGGUGUAGCGGUGAAAUGCGCAGAUAUCAGGAGGAACACCGGUGGCGAAGGCGGUUCUCUGGGCAUUACCUGACGCUGAGGAGCGAAAGCGUGGGGAGCGAACAGG